rnacentral:rRNA from 1 species
AGAUUGAACGCUGGCGGCAUGCCUAACACAUGCAAGUCGAACGGCAGCGCGGGUAGCAAUACCUGGCGGCGAGUGGCGGACGGGUGAGGAAUACAUAGGAAUCUACCCUGUCGUGGGGGAUAACGUAGGGAAACUUACGCUAAUACCGCAUACGACCGAGAGGUGAAAGCGGCGGACCGCAAGGCGUCGCGCGGCUGGAUGAGCCUAUGUCCGAUUAGCUAGUUGGCGGGGUAAGAGCCACCAAGGCGACGAUCGGUAGCUGGUCUGAGAGGAUGAUCAGCCACACUGGGACUGAGACACGGCCCAGACUCCUACGGGAGGCAGCAGUGGGGAAUAUUGGACAAUGGGCGCAAGCCUGAUCCAGCAAUGCCGCGUGUGUGAAGAAGGCCUGGUUGUAAGACACUUUGUACGGAAGAAAGACGUGGUUAAGUACCGAUGUGAUGACGUACCGUAACGAAUAAGCACCGCUAACUCGUGCAGCACG